rnacentral:rRNA from 1 species
CGCGUAGGCGGGAUGGCAAGUCGGUCGUGAAAUCCUUCGGCUCAACCGAAGAACGUCGAUCGAUACUGCUGUUCUUGAGGGUUGCAGAGGAGACUGGAAUUCCCGGUGUAGCGGUGAAAUGUGUAGAGAUCGGGAGGAACACCGGUGGCGAAGGCGGGUCUCUGGGCAAUUCCUGACGCUGAGGCGCGAAAGCGUGGGGAGCAAACGGGAUUAGAUGCCCCGGUAGUCCACGCUGUAAACGAUGACGACUAGGUGUGGGGGGGUUCAGUCCCUUCCGUGCCGCAGCUAACGCAUUAAGUCGUCCGCCUGGGGAGUACGGCCGCAAGGUUGAA